rnacentral:rRNA from 1 species
GAUGAACGCUGGCGGCGUGCCUAACACAUGCAAGUCGAGCGAUCUCUUCGGAGAGAGCGGCGGACGGGUGAGUAACGCGUGGGUAACCUGCCCUGUACACACGGAUAACAUACCGAAAGGUAUGCUAAUACGGGAUAACAUAUAAAAGUCGCAUGGCUUUUAUAUCAAAGCUUUUGCGGUACAGGAUGGACCCGCGUCCGAUUAGCUAGUUGGUAAGGUAACGGCUUACCAAGGCGACGAUCAGUAGCCGACCUGACAGGGUGAUCGGCCACACUGGAACUGAGACACGGUCCAGACUCCUCCGGGAGGCAGCAGUGGGGAAUAUUGCACAAUGGGCGAAAGCCUGAUGCAGCAACGCCGCGUGAGCGAUGAAGGCCUUCGGGUCGUAAAGCUCUGUCCUCAAGGAAGAUAAUGACGGUACUUGAGGAGGAAGCCCCGGCUAACUACGUGCCAGCCGCCGCAGUAA